AGAGCUACAAACCCGCGGAGUGUGUGGAAUGUGAUAUGACAGCACAAACAAAAUCCCAUUGCCAGUACCCGCCGGUUCACAGCUGAGAGUCAGUGGAAUGUGUCGACGCACCGUGGAUCCUGCUCAGUGGUGGGAAUAACACAAAACUAACGGUCCCCAAUCAUCGACACGUAGACAGGUGCAACACAGACGCAACGCACGAGAAAUGUGUCACCCGCAGGACCGCGGGAGGACAAACCGAGCGUUAUGAUGAGGCAGAAACACCAGUGAGCUAUUGGAGCCAGAGCCAGAACCAGCCUCGGAGCACCCAGUGAUGUCGAGCCAGGUACCAUGAAGUUGAAACGAGACAUUUCCAUGGAUGCGGGAGCUGUACAGGCGCUUGUUGUUAAGCUGAUUGGCUUGAUUACAGAUAAAAAAGCAGACACUAUGCUUAUUGACAACUGCAAUGCUUAAAAGCACAUUUGGAUUUAUUCAUUACAGAAAUAUAUCAAUUUGUAAAUGUUGCAUGCUCCAAGCUUCGGUAAUUCGGUAAUGAG